CGGAAGGAUCAUUAUUGAAAACAAGGGUGUCCAAUUUAACUUGGAACCCAAACUUCUCAAUUCUAACUUUGUGCAUCUGUAUUAAUGGCGAGCAACUUCGGUUGUGAGCCUUCACUUACAAAACACUAGUCUAUGAAUGUAAAAUUUUUAUAACAAAUAAAAACUUUCAACAACGGAUCUCUUGGCUCUCGCAUCGAUGAAGAACGCAGCGAAAUGCGAUACGUAAUGUGAAUUGCAGAAUUCAGUGAAUCAUCGAAUCUUUGAACGCAUCUUGCGCUCUCUGGUAUUCCGGAGAGCAUGUCUGUUUGAGUGUCAUGAAUUCUUCAACCCAAUCUUUUCUUGUAAUCGAUUGGUGUUUGGAUUCUGAGCGUUGCUGGCGUUUGCCUAGCUCGUUCGUAAUACAUUAGCAUCCCUAAUACAAGUUUGGAUUGACUUGGCGUAAUAGACUAUUCGCUAAGGAUUCGGUGGAAACAUCGAGCCAACUUCAUUAAGGAAGCUCCUAAUUUAAAAGUCUACCUUUUGAUUAGAUCUCAAAUCAGGCAGGAUUACCCGCUGAACUUA
rnacentral:rRNA from 1 species